CCUACGGGAGGCUGCAGUGGGGAAUAUUGCACAAUGGAGGAAACCCUGAUGCAGCGACGCCGCGUGAGUGAAGAAGUCUUUCGGUAUGUAAAGCUCUAUCAGCAGGGGAGAAAAAAGACGCUACCUGACUACGAAGCCCCGGCUACCUACGUGCCAGCAGCCGCGGUAAUCGGGAGGGGGCACGCGUUAUCCGGAUUUACUGGGUGUAAAGGGAGCGUAGACGGGGCGGCAAGUCAGAAGUGAAAGGUUGGGGCUUAACCCCGGAACUGCUUUUGAAACUGGCAGGCUAGAGUGCAGGCGAGGUAAGUGGAAUUCCUAGUGUAGCGGUGAAAUGCGUAGAUAUUAGGAGGAACACCAGUGGCGAAGGCGAGUUACUGGAGAGUAACUGACGUUGAGGCUCGAAAGCGUGGGGAGCAAACAGGAUUAGAUACCCUUGUAGUC
rnacentral:rRNA from 1 species